rnacentral:rRNA from 1 species
UACGGAGGGUGCAAGCGUCAAUCGGAAUUACUGGGCGUAAAGCGCACGUAGGUGGCUGCUUAAGUCGGAUGUGAAAGCCCUGGGCUCAACCUGGGAAUUGCAUUCGAUACUGAGCGGCUAGAGUACGAUAGAGGGAGGUAGAAUUCCACGUGUAGCGGUGAAAUGCGUAGAUAUGUGGAGGAAUACCGGUGGCGAAGGCGGCCUCCUGGAUUGAUACUGACACUGAGGUGCGAAAGCGUGGGGAGCAAACAGG